AGCAGCCGCGGUAAUUCCAGCUCCAAUAGCGUAUAUUAAAGUUGUUGCAGUUAAAAAGCUCGUAGUUGAAUUUCGGGGUCAGCAGGUCGGUCGUGCCACUGGUAUGUACUGGCCUUGCUGAUUCCUCCCUCUUGAUGAGCCGUAAUGCCAUUAAUUUGGUGUUGCGGGGAAUCAGGACUGUUACUUUGAAAAAAUUAGAGUGUUUAAAGCAGGCAUGCGCUUGAAUACAUUAGCAUGGAAUAAUGAAAUAGGACGUUCGAUCCUAUUUUGUUGGUUUCUAGGAUUGACGUAAUGAUUAAUAGGGAUAGUUGGGGGCAUUAGUAUUCAAUUGUCAGAGGUGAAAUUCUUGGAUUUAUUGAAGACUAACUACUGCGAAAGCAUUUGCCAAGGAUGUUUUCAUUAAUCAAGAACGAAAGUUAGGGGAUCGAAGACGAUCAGAUACCGUCGUAGUCUUAACCAUAAACUAUGCCGACUAGGGAUCGGAUGAUGUUAAUUUUUUAAUGACUCU
rnacentral:rRNA from 1 species